UACGGAGGGAGCUAGCGUUGUUCGGAAUUACUGGGCGUAAAGCGCGCGUAGGCGGUUUUUUAAGUCAGAGGUGAAAGCCCAGUGCUCAACACUGGAACUGCCUUUGAAACUGGAAAACUUGAAUCUUGGAGAGGUCAGUGGAAUUCCGAGUGUAGAGGUGAAAUUCGUAGAUAUUCGGAAGAACACCAGUGGCGAAGGCGGCUCACUGGCCUGGUAUUGACGCUGAGGUGCGAAAGCGUGGGGAGCAAACAGG
rnacentral:rRNA from 1 species